UUCCGGGGUUCUGGCUGCAUGGUGGGAGUUCCUGUGCACCCUUAUUACCUUUUACCACCAGAUGGCGACAGGUUCCGGCUGGAGUGCGGUGCAUUAUUAUCCGCAGCUGUUCGUGAUCAUCCUCAUCAGCGGCGCAGACUUAAGGAGUUGGCCGCCAGUCCAGCGUCGCCUGAGUGUUAGCCAGUCACGGUGAUCCUUUGAUGAGAUCCCGGUUGAAUUCCUGGCUUUUGAACCAUCCUCGUGACGCCGUGGAAAGUAUCCACAGGUUGCCCGAGUUCCCAGACUUACCUCUCCGUUGUUUUGGCAAUUAUCUCCUGGACCCCACGGCUGGCGGCCAUACCACUCCUCCGUCUCCCCGCUGCUCUCGUGCCUACCUGUCCGCUGCCCACCGCACUCCUCCGUUGUUCCUGGACCCACCAAGAACCGAGACCCCGGACAUACUCGGUUUCCCCUCCAAGACUCUGUUCAUCAGCAACAAUGAACCAUUGUUGCCGUCCCUGUUUUUGCCCCUGGACCAGACCAUCCUGAUUCUCACUGAUAAUUGUGUGAUCUUUAUUAAAUCAUUUAACACUGA